rnacentral:rRNA from 1 species
AACGAACGCUGGCGGCAUGCCUAACACAUGCAAGUCGAACGAGACCUUCGGGUCUAGUGGCGCACGGGUGCGUAACGCGUGGGAACCUGCCCUUAGGUUCGGAAUAACUCCCCGAAAGGGGUGCUAAUACCGGAUAAUGUCUUCGGACCAAAGAUUUAUCGCCUUUGGAUGGGCCCGCGUUGGAUUAGCUAGUUGGUAGGGUAAAAGCCUACCAAGGCGACGAUCCAUAGUUGGUCUGAGAGGAUGAUCAGCCACACUGGGACUGAGACACGGCCCAGACUCCUACGGGAAGCAGCAGUGGGGAAUAUUGGACAAUGGGCGAAAGCCUGAUCCAGCAAUGCCGCGUGAGUGAUGAAGGCCUUAGGGUUGUAAAGCUCUUUUACCCGGGAUGAUAAUGACAGUACCGGGAGAAUAAGCGCCGGCUAACUCCGUG